CGCUGUGCGAAGUAAUUUUAAACGUGUGAUUAGUUUUGCGCGCGGGGUAGAAAAAGAUGUGGCCCAUGCUUUGUGUAUUACUCGUGCCGCACUUCAAAGCAAAGCGUUCGUACGCACUGGAAGAUGGAUCCACGAAGGCUGAAACGAGAAGUUGCAACGUGCCCGGUCGGUAGUACUGGCAUGAUGGAAACUUUCAGCGAGUGUUCCCGCCUGAAAGCCGAGUUUGGUUUCAAGCCACCCUGGACAACUGCUGUAUGAGGCGCCGUUUCUCGGGAGGACCAGUGGGAAGGCGCCAAGUAUACGCUUCGUCCUUUUUCCUCCCAUGCCCUGAUGAAUCGAUAUCCUUGUUUUUUAUUGUGAAAGGAACGUUACAUCCAGAGCAUAAAUAAAUGAUUAAGAAAUCUG